GGCUUCUGACCUUGGCUUUCCUCCUGGACUACUCUGAUCUCUGGAUUCCCCUGACUUUGGCUUUCCUUGACUACGCUUCUGCUAAUCCCUGCUGUACUGCUACUUGGAGCACUAUUCCUGGAAAGCCCCCGUGCACAGACUCACAGAUCAGGUGGCGUCUUACCUGGUCACCCUGGUCUGUGUCUACUUUGCAAGGGUGAGCGUAUAAC